UACGGAGGAUCCAAGCGUUAUCCGGAAUCAUUGGGUUUAAAGGGUCCGUAGGCGGUUUGGUAAGUCAGUGGUGAAAGCCCAUCGCUCAACGGUGGAACGGCCAUUGAUACUGCCAGACUUGAAUUAUUAGGAAGUAACUAGAAUAUGUAGUGUAGCGGUGAAAUGCUUAGAGAUUACGAUGGAAUACCAAUUGCGAAGGCAGGUUACUACUAAUGGAUUGACGCUGAUGGACGAAAGCGUGGGUAGCGAACAGG
rnacentral:rRNA from 1 species